rnacentral:rRNA from 1 species
UACGUAGGGUGCGAGCGUUGUCCGGAAUUAUUGGGCGUAAAGAGCUCGUAGGCGGUGUGUCGCGUCGGUCGUGAAAACUUGGGGCUUAACUCUGAGCUUGCGGUCGAUACGGGCAUCACUUGAGUUCGGCAGGGGAGACUGGAAUUCCUGGUGUAGCGGUGAAAUGCGCAGAUAUCAGGAGGAACACCCGGUGGGCGAAGGCG